rnacentral:rRNA from 1 species
UAAUACGGAGGGUGCAAGCGUUAAUCGGAAUAACUGGGCGUAAAGCGCACGCAGGCGGUUAGAUAAGUCAGAUGUGAAAUCCCCGGGCUCAACCUGGGAACUGCAUUUGAAACUGUCUGACUAGAGUCUUGUAGAGGGGGGUAGAAUUCCAGGUGUAGCGGUGAAAUGCGUAGAGAUCUGGAGGAAUACCGGUGGCGAAGGCGGCCCCCUGGACAAAGACUGACGCUCAGGUGCGAAAGCGUGGGGAGCAAACAGGAUUAGAUACCCUGGUAGUCCACGCUGUAAACGAUGUCGAUUUGGAGUUUGUGCCAUUAUGAGCGUGGGUUCCGAAGCUAACGCGAUAAAUCGAUCGCCUGGGGAGUACGGCCGCAAGGUUAAAACUCAAAUGAAUUGACGGGGGCCCGCACAAGCGGUGGAGCAUGUGGUUUAAUUCGAUGCAACGCGAAGAACCUUACCUGGCCUUGACAUGCUGAGAAUUUUGUAGAGAUACGAAAGUGCCUUCGGGAACUCAGAC